GCAGAGGAACAGGUGUUCGCUGGAUCCAUGUGAUUCAGAGGAAAGUCCGGGCUCCACAGGACACGGUGGUGGGUAACGCCCACCGUCCGCAAGGAUCGGGAAAGUGCAACAGAAAGUAAACCGCCGAACGGUGGUGUGACGGUUCUGCCGUCAUGCUGCGUCGUGGUAAGGGUGAAACGGUGCGGUAAGAGCGCACCAGCGCGGCGGGCAACCGCCACGGCUAGGUAAACCCCACCCGGAGCAAGGUCAAACGUGGGAAAUGGGCGGCUCGCCCGUUCGGGAAACCGGACAUUCCCAAGGUGGACCGCGUA
rnacentral:RNase_P_RNA from 1 species